ensembl:lncRNA novel transcript
GUUAGGCUGCCGUUGGUCCCGAGACUCCCCCAUCUGCGCCCCCGCCCUGCCCUGCGAGGCCGCCGCCGCGCGCCCCACCGUCUGUUGCAGUGGAGCGUGAGCCGCGGCUGCGGCUCCUGGUUCUUGUGGAAGCACCGACCAUGUGCCGAGAGCUAACUGUGUCAAGAAGAGCAUGCUUCAGUUGGCUGGAGUGAGCAAUUCAACUUGUGGAGGAGUGAGAAAUGUUAGUGUUGAGACAAGAAACGUAAAACCCCAGGGUAAGGACAGCAAGGCUGAGGAGAAUGGCUCCCACAGCUUCAUGCACUCCAUGGACCCACAGCUGGAGCGGCAAAUGGAAACCACCCAGAACCUGGUGGACUCCUACAUGGCCAUUGUCAACAAGACCGUGUGGGACCUCAUGGUUGGUGCGAAGCCCAAGACCACCAUGCAUAUCAUGAUCUACAAUGUGCAUGCACCGCCUCAUGGGGACCAAGGAGUUCAUCUUCUCGGAGCUGCUGUCCAACCUGCGCUCGCGUGGGAACGAGAAGACACUCAUGGAGGAGUCGGCAGAGUAGGCACAGCGGCGCGACGAGAUGCUGCUUCUCAGAGCUGCUGUCCAACCUGCACUCGCUUGGGAACCAGAAGACACUCGUGGAGGAGUCGGCAGAGCAGGCACAGCGGCGCGACGAGACUCGCGUGGGAAGAAAUAGACACUCCUGGAGGAGUCGGCAGAGCAGGCACAGCGGCGCGACGAGACUCGCGUGGGAACGAGAAGACACUCCUGGAGGAGUCGGCAGAGCAGGCAGACCAAGGAGUUCAUCUUCUCGGAGCUGCUGUCCAACCUGCACUCGCGUAGGGACAAGAAGACACUCCUGCAGGAGUCGGCGGAGCAGGCAGACCAAGGAGUUCAUCUUCUCAGAGCUGCUGUCCAACCUGCACUCGCGUGGGAACGAGAAGACACUCCUGGAGGAGUCGGCGGAGCAGGCACAGCGGCGCGACGAGAUGCUGCGCAUGCACCACGUGCUGAAAGAGGCUCUCAGCAUCAUCGGCAACAUCAACACGAACACCGUCAGCACAGCUACGGGGGCCCGUGGACGACGCCUAGCUGCAGCCAAGCCCAGCAAAAGAAUGGCAUACGGGAGUUGCUGCACAAGCCUGGGUGCUCCACGCUGUCAGUGAGGCUCACCUCACAAAGAUCUUUGGAGAGAAGGAGGUGGGGAUCCGAGUGCAGUGAGAGCCUCCCCUGCCCCUGCCUGCCCACCCUGCCUGAGGACUCUACUCACCACCAUGCUUAUCAGCACCCACAAGCUCCUGGGGGGCUGGGGCUCCUGGACCAGGCUCAUCAGCAAGCUUCAGGGCAGUGGCCGGGAAUUUGCUGUGUCCCUCGUUGUAGUCACCACAAGCCGCAACAUCUUCUCCAGCAGCUCCAGCAGCUUCACCUGGAGGGAGGGGUGCUCAGCUGUUAUGCAUCUACCGGCGCCCACCCUCACGCCCACCCCCACCCCUGCAGAGAUGUUGCACACCCUACCUUCAUCUCCUCCAUGUCCUGGGCCAGCCUGAUGAUGUCCUCCUCCAGUUGCCGCAUCUUUGGCACUGCCCCCUGGCUGUGUUCUAGGGUGAUGAACUUUCCUGCAGGAGGACAGGGCUCAGACGCUGAGGUCCCUCCGACGGCCCUGCAGCUCCCCCUGCCGUGCCCUGGCCUCCCACUAACUGAUGACUUCUGUCUUUCCAGUACUGGAUGAAUCGAAGUUCUAGUUUCUCCGCUCGCUCCCUCAGGUCCACCUUCUCCUCCAGGAGGUCCAUAAGGCCACUCUGGAGCCAAAAUAAUGGGGUCACAUCUCGGCAGCAACACCCACCCCUGCCCUUCUUGGCCCAUGCCAGGACUCAGUCACCUCCAGCUUCUCCAUGACCUCCUGCAUGGCCCGGUGGGUCUCCCCACUCACAGACUGGCCCCUAGUCACUGGGGCUGGGACCGCUGCCUCUGGCUUCUGCUGGGCCGAGGCCACCAGGUGAGCCAUGCGCUGGCAGCACACCCUCUGCUCUUUCACCUGCUCUCAUAACCGUGCCUGCUCCUCCUGGGCAUUGGCUCCAGCGGAGUUGAAAAAUGCAACCUGAGGGCAAGAGGUGAGCAUUCUUGUAGGGGCAUACACAGAACGAACGGGGCAGAGAGGUGGAGUGCAGCCUCUUCCCUUGGGGCCUCAGAGAGUGCAUCUGUUGGUCACAGGUGAAAUGGUGUCUGACCACUGGCUCCUGGAAGGGAUGAGGGUCCAGAGAAAUCAGAAGGCAGGGAAACCAAGAGCAUAAAGGGGUCUUGGAGGGACCACAGAGGAAGGUGGCAAAAUGGGUACAGGGGGAGUCAGGCUCACCGUGGCCUCCCAGCUCUCCAGGUCCUCUGGGUUGCUUGGCAUGGGCCGAGGUGCCUCCUCCUCACUGUCCAGAUGUCCUCCUCUAUCUCCUGUGGGGGGUGGCCAGAAGGGUCCUCAGACAGCCCAAUAAGGGAGGUACUGUGGGCCCACCUCUGCCUCCACCCUCACUGUGUAACACUGAGCCAGCCACUACCCAGAGAGCAGCUGCUGUUCUUUAUUUUUACUUUUAAGAACCAAGAUCAGGCAUAGUCCCACUACCAGUCGAUGUGGGAGUUCUGACCCGCUCCCUUUCUGACCUGGGCCAGUUCAGCCAUCCUUAGGCAACUUGGUGGCCCCCCGCUCCCAGGAGGACAUCAUAUUGAUGCCAAACUUAGUGCGGGCACCCGGUCGGCAUAGGGACCAGCUGUUCUAAAGGUCUCUUCCAACCUUUGCCUUUUUCUUUGCUGCGGCCAAUUUGCUCUGUUGAGUUUCUUCUGCCAUUGCGGGGUGGGGAGGGAGGCGGGGUUGGGGCCACGUGAGCAAAAUCCCAGUGAGCACUGAUGAACACCUCCACUUGCCUACCAGGCAGCUGUGUGACUGAGCCCGAGGAGGCACAACUAGGGCCCCCAUAGAAUGCAGAACAGGGGCGUGGCCUUAAUGCUCCAAGCCCAUUGGUCAAUGACAAAGAUGAAAGGGAAAGGGGGUGUGGCCAGGCAGCAGUAUGUCCAGAGGGACCUGUGGCUCACAAGGAAAGCUGUCCAUGCAACUGCUGUCCCCGCCUACUCUGAGGGGAGGGGCCGCCCCCUCUGGGAGAGGGGAGGGGCCGGCUUUUGCUUUAAAAGCUUUAAAACUUUAAAAAAUAUAUGUGUGUAUACUUUAUGUAUAUGUGUGUGUGUGUGUAUCUAUGUGUUCCUCCAGAGCUGUCUUCAUUAUCCAGCUUCUAUGCAAGGUCUACGAUUUUGGCCUAUAUUUUUCAUCUUCAAACACAGUACAAAAAUUACCAGUAUUACCAUAACUGAGAUAAAGAUCCUAUAAAAAUGGAAAAUCCAUAGCAUGCUUGAUGAUUAACGAAGCAGACUAUAUUAUCCAACAUUCCAAUAAGAUAAAAUAAUCACAAGUUUCUUUUUUUUGGAAAAAGGUUUCUCUUAUUCUCCUAUGUUAUUGUUAAAAAAUUUUUUCUUAAACAAGAAACAUGUCUAAUAUCUGUAACAACACAAAGCUUUUGGGCCAGAUGCGGUGGCUUGCGCCUGUAAUCCCAGCACUUUGGGAGCCCGAGGCGGGUGGAUCACCUGAAGUCAGGAGUUCGAGACCAGCCUGGCCAACAUGGUGAAACCCCAUCUCUACUAAUAAUACAAAAACUAGCCAGGUGAGGUAGUGGGUGCCUGUAAUCCCAGCUAUUCAGGAGGCUGAGGCAGUAGAAUCACUUGAACCCGGGAGACGGAGUUUGCAGUGAGCCAAGCUCACACCACUGCAGUCCAGCCUGGGUGACAGAGCGAAACUCCAUCUC